GAUGAACGCUAGCGGCAGGCCUAAUACAUGCAAGUCGAACGGGUGGUCGCAAGACCACUAGUGGCGCACGGGUGCGUAACGCGUAACCAACCUGCCCCGAUCUGGGGGAUAGCCCGCCGAAAGGCGGAUUAAUACCGCAUAUACCCGCAGCCUGGCAUCAGGCAACGGGGAAAGAUUUAUUGGAUCGGGAUGGGGUUGCGUGACAUUAGCUAGUUGGCGGGGUAAGGGCCCACCAAGGCGACGAUGUCUAGGGGACCUGAGAGGGUGAUCCCCCACACUGGCACUGAGAUACGGGCCAGACACCUACGGGAGGCAGCAGUAGGGAAUAUUGGGCAAUGGGCGAGAGCCUGACCCAGCCAUGCCGCGUGCCGGAUGAAGGCCUUCUGGGUUGUAAACGGCUUUUCUCAGGGAAGAAAAAGACCUUGCGAGGUACACUGACGGUACCUGAGGAAUAAGCACCGGCUAACUCCGUG
rnacentral:rRNA from 1 species